CAAAGGUGAUCUGAAUAAAUAUGAAAAUGAUUGGAGCUUAUCACAACGUUCUGUUGCAUUGGAUAGAGAGAAGAGGAGGAGGAACCGCCGUAACGGUUAUCUCUCAGUAUUGAAGAACGAUCUGGGUAGAAAAGGGAGAAAGACCACCGUUCAGCAGCUCCAACAAGGAAAGCGAAGCGUAGCAACCCAGACUGAAGCCGUUAUCAUAUUUGGACCAGAUGAUGUGCUACCGUCUCUCCAAUCACAUGCCACAGUUAAUAUGAUCAUGUAGAUCAUGGAUCAAAUCCAGAAAGAAGAAAGAACAACAGGAGUGCUCUAAAAUGAUGAGAGAGUUAUCCGAUGACCAGCGCCAUUACUUUCAAUGAGACAAGUGCAUUUAUAUGAGCUGCCUCAUCUGACAUGUUCUAAAUGUUUAAAAUUAACUACAGUGUAGCAGUGUUAUUGUUAUUUAUUACUGCAAAUAUGCAUGUAUUUAUAUAGUAGGGAAAUUUAUUUAUUUUUCGUAGAUUUUCUGUAGUUUUCGGUAAAUGUAGAUAUUGAUAUUAAAGCGUAAUGAAGUGAUAUAAUAGUUCUGUUAUUGUCAAUACAUGUUCAGGAAUCGGUUAUAUAUAAUAGUUUUGUUAUUGUCAAUACAUGUUCGGGAAUCGGUUAUAUGCAUACCAAUGCAUCAGGUACAAUGCACAUAAUUCAAUUUUCACCACAAUUUUGUAAGAAAGAAAAAUUGUGAAAUUUUGGCGCUUUAAUUUGUACAUUUAUCAUACAAGAUACAUGGAGUUUAAUGAUGUAUAUGUUUACUCACAUAUUUUGAUUACAAUUACCUGAUCGUGAUUUAGGGCUCACGACUGGUGUAACCUGUUGCUUACUCCUCCAAGGCAACUGACCCCACUUCUGGUUGAUCCAGGGGUCAGUGUUUGCCAAGCUCUUAAUUUUGUAAUCAUCAAAGGAGUUAUGAGAUUGAUCACUCUUCGUUACAUAAUUGAUAAUUAAAAAAGCUAUCUCAUCUCCUAUCAUUCCCCUGACUGAUGGUCGUGGGGGAGACAUGAUGGACGACACGUAUGCCAGAUAACACAGGUGGGACUGUCCAUUCUGGUCCACUCUUGUACAUCCAGCUCCUCGUCUGCAUCUGCCGCCACCUUCCAAGGUCCCAUGUAAAACUGUCUUCGGGAGGCUGUUGUGGCGAGUAAUGCGCGUCCAUACCAUGUCAGCCUCCUCCUAUUUACAAGCACUGGGAUGGGGUUCUUGCGGACUUCACUGUGUUGUUUGGACACGGAUCUAUAUAACUCAUAUGAUAGCUGGAAUACGCUGUCCUCUUUAAAAUCGAUAUUUCUGAAAAUUUGCAAGACCAACGUCCUACGUAAUUACUACUUGUUUUAACAAUGUCUUACAGCCUAUACAGCAUGUUGGGAUUUCCUUCAGGCACGUGGGACUUUUAUAGACGCCUAAAAGAUUUAACGAGCGGCAAAUGUAUUUUUGGAUUACCACUUACUUACUUUAUAGAAAA